rnacentral:misc_RNA from 1 species
UGUGGGAGCGAGCUUGCUCGCGAUGGCGGCGGUUCAGUUACAUGAGUAUUGAACUGGCUGGCCUCAUCGCGAGCAAGCUCGCUCCCACA